UUUUUUUUUUUUUCUGUUUUGUUUAAAAGCUUUUCGAAACGAGACCCGUAAAAGUAUCCCGGUUAUCUCGAGGCAUGCGAACACGUGUACCGGGUGCUUGAAUUCCCGAUCGAGAGAAAGAGAGCGUCCAACGGAGUUUCAAAGACACACGAAGCGAGAUGGAGAGACGAAAGACCCCGAACGAUUUCUUUGUGUUCAACCCCAAACGCCGCUGGUCCACCCGGUAAGUUUCCAGAAAUGUUAAUAUCGAUAUCGGUUCGGUGAAAACUGGAAACUGCGAUACAAAUACGACCACCGGCAAUCACCCCAGCUGGCGAACGAUCGCCAACCACUCGGUGAUUUUAUCCUUUGUCCGUACGUAUACUUCGUAAUUUCCCUUGUUCCAACCUUCGACAAAUUCGACAUGGUUUUGGCAUCGCGCGCGCGCACGGGGGAUGGUAACGUUGACUCUCUCGAGACCGGAGAUCGCCGGUCUGACUCGAACCGCCGACUUAACUCCGGGUAUUACGUAGCGGCGCGUGUAUAGCUGCGGGAAAAGGAAAAGGGUGGCGAAGGGAGAGUCUCGCGUUAAAGAGGGUAGGAGAGGAGCCGUAAAUGUAGCUACUCGAAAGUGGGUUUCCCGCCCCGUUGCAGUUGCCAAAAGUUUGGUUUCACAGGAAGUCAUUCUUCCUAUAUACGCGUAUCGUACGUACGAAUAGAGACCUGUUCGGCCCGAUUCGACCCAGAAAAUAUUCAACAUGUUGGCGUACUCCCGUGUAACUCUUAUCGAGCGACGUAAGAAAUUUCACUUCGACUCCGUUGUUUCGGGCGAGCGUAUUUUCCGGAUUUUCGAUAAGCCAGCCAUCCCCAUAAGGUGAGAAACUCGUCGUUACCGUAACGCCAUUUUUUUCGCACCCCCCCGUCCCAUAAUUCCACAUAAAUAUAUAUAUAACCGCUCACCGAUGCAUGUGACAUUUAUUCCACACGUAUUACGCAAACAAAGAAGUAGCGUAUUGUGGGGUAGUAAGUUAAGAACGCGGUAAUAGUAUAGUAUAUCGAGUGGCGGUGGAGAGGAAUAGCGGGGGGUUAGGGGGUCGAAGAAGAGGGAGACUUUGGCAAACGGAAUCACCCUCUUCGGGAACAGCUUUCCGAUUGCCGUCGAUCAAAAAUCAUUGCCUCGUCGACUGAUUCCAUAAACAAAGAAAACAGUGUUCCGGCGGUGGAAGAUAUCAGUUCGCGGGAGAGAGAGAAUGAGGAGAGUUUCAGGAGUGGGUUCGGAUAUACCGAGCAACGGUGGAGCGAGGAGGAGAGAUCGGAGCGAAGGGGAGGAAGAGCGACGGGAAAGGGAGAAGGGUCCCAGGGAGCUAAGGGGAAGUAAGGGAGGAAAAUUUUGCCUCUGAAAAUACGCCGGGCAACCCGAACGGAGAACGGACAAAGAAGCCAGUAGCACGCAUGUGCGUCGGAGGAAAUGAGACGGCGAUACGAGAAUCGAUCUCGUCAACUCCGCGAAGGAUUACUCUCUUUCCUCUCUUUCCACCUCUGCGUCGUCCGCCUUUCCGCGAUUCGGACGAAACGUCGACGCAUUGGCAAGACACAGGUAUGCCAGGGGCUCCGGGGUUGCAUCACAUCUAAUCGUAUCUGGGAGGAAAAUAGCGGACGCUCGUAGAGGCGUGCGCAGGUAGGUAUAAAAGCUAAUCAGAAUACGUGAAUAUGUACAAGUGUAACGUAUCAGACGGUGAGAUUUUGUAACCGAGGUAUAACAUGGUGGAGUGUAGGUAGGAUGAAAUACGUUAUACCUACGGAUUGAUUGAAUAAGCAUCGCUCGGUUGGAGGCGCGCAAACAAUUCGUGAACCCCUCCGAUUUAAAUGCGUUGACCUUGAUUUCGCGUUAUUGACAGAGACGCGUACCAUCAAUCACCGUUGAUUAUCGCCGGUUCGAAGCGUUGCCGGAUCAGUUUGGUUACAUUGCUCUAACGAACCAACGAACCGACCGACCGACCGACCGACCGCAACAAACGACAGACUCUCUAGUUGCGGCAGUUUCGACGUUGCUCAAUACCUAUGGAAUAACGUUGGAUUCGUAAGUAAAAGCCCAUAGCGGCGGCGGCGGCCGUAUAGCGAAGUUUGAAAAGUAGGAAAUUGUCGAUUGGCCUUACGCCAACAGCUGGGACGAAUUACGCGAAAGCCAGUUUACCUUAUAGCUCAACGUACACGCGGUAUAUCGGAAGGCCCUUAAUUCCGCGACAACCCGCGUAAGGAAACUCCGUACGCGUAUACGACCGUAAUGAUGAUGACGACGACGACGACGAUGAUGAUGAUGAUGAUGAUCACCAUGUGAUUUUCAGUUAAAGAACAUUCAACAACUAUAAUACAUCCUCUCCGUGCGCCUCGGCCUCUACAGGACUACAUAAUCACAGUAUGUAUCCUAAUGGCUCGAAGCCAAUUCGUUUCCUGAAGCAUAAAAUAAACGAAGUCUUCCUAACCCACAUAGUACGUGUUACGGUUUCGACUCGCGGGAAGGGCGAGUGAGUGAGAGAGAGAGAGAAAGAGAGAGAGAGAGAGAGAGAGAGAGAGAGAGAGAGAGAGGGAUAAAGAAAGAGGAGGUACCAUGGCGAUGCGGUAUAAUAUACGUAUACCUUGGAAGCACACGAGAGUACCGAGCCCCUCACUCAUUUCCCGGUAACGCAUUGAAUUUAGAAUGCAUAAUAUAGGCACCGACAGCAAGAAGAGAGCAGCUCUGGCUUUGAUUAACUACUGCACCAGCGGAUGUGGGGCGCAAUACGAGUUGACGUCUAACCGCUGCACCGCUCCGUCGUAUACUCCGCUGUCUUGACCACGAUACCUCGGAUGUUGCGAUAAAAUAGGAAUACGUAUUGCACGUGUACCGGGAAGGGAAGUUUCUUGCUUCUCCGAUGAUACCGUCAGAUUUUGUAGCCGCAACUCGCUACAUCUUUUACCGUGAUGCGCGAUCGUAAAAAAAAAUCCAACUCCACAGAUUCUGAAUACAACCGUGGAUAUGUACAGUGGAUUCAUAUCUCUCGGGAGAAACAAGAAGAGGAAGGAGGAAUAAAAAAAAGAAUAAAGGGAAGAAGAAGAAGAAGAAGAACAACAACAACAACAACGACAACGACAACGACAACGAGAACGACGACAACUAUACAACGACAAGAAGAACCCUAAAGCCAGCGAAUCUAAAGUCCCAUUACACAUCGUGGGGCGCGGGUACCGGUCCCCCAUGUACAUCUUCUCCAUGUAUUCAUGUAUCUCUUUUCUCUUCUAUUUUCUUCUUUUUUUUUUUGUUUUAUUAUUCCUCUUUUCCUUUUUCUUCUUUUUACCCAUUCAAUUCACACGCACGCGCACCGAGGGAAUACUCGCACACCGUUGCACCGCUUCUCGGUACAUUUACUAGGUGGGCUCGGCGGUGGUGGUGGUGUCGCGUCGCUCGUGUCGGUGCAUCUCCCUCUUCUUCUCCACCUCUACGCACACCCUGUCCGCCCGGUGUUUCCCUCUUUCUCUUUCGCAUCGCUACAUUUCCCCCCUCGUCUCCGACAGAGUUCAGCGGAAUAUUCCAUGGAUGAGGUAUGCCAUCUCCGUUCGAUACAUCGUCGAAGCGUUCGUCGGGACUGCUCGCACUCGCACGAGAUCGUACGGUCUUUCCUGCCUCGGGAUCUCACCUACACGGGCGGGGACCCCCGUAGCUUUGGGUAGCCGGGUAGCCGGGUAUCGCCUUCUCUCUCUCUCUCUCUCUUUCUCUCCUCUUUUUGGAUCGCUUCGUCUUUCCCUUUCCCUUUCCCUUUCCCGUUUCCUCCCCCUCGGCUCCUCUCUCCGUCAACAUUUCGCCCUCUUUCCCGCUCCCUCUUCAACGUUUCGCGGUCUCUCUCACCCUCUCUUUAUCCCUCCCUCCUUCCCUCUCUCGCUUGCGCGGCCAACACCGCGAAGUUGAGUUGCCGAGGAGGAGGCUUUCAGGGACGUCGAAAGGAGGCGCGAGGGCCCCCGUGUGCCAGAUAAGUGUACAACGUGAUAUACAUUUUUAUCCCGUCAAGAGCUGCCCCGCUGUCCAUGUCCGUAGGUCAUUGACACGGUCAAACAAUCGCUGGAAAGUAGCUGAACGAAGUAAUGACUCCGGCCCGAGCGCAAAAAAGAGACUAAACAGAAAAAGAAAUUACACCAGAAAAAAAAAAGAAAAAAAAAAAAAAAAAAACAAGGAACGGAAAAGUGGAACAAAGAGGAAAGAGAAGUACAAAAAAAGGAAACACAAUUCAUUUCAUCUCCGACGUCAAAGUUGUACACGUACACUGUAUUAUUAAUAAAAAUGAAUUUGAAAAAAAAAAAAAAAAACGAAAAAAGGAGAAGGAAAACUUUGCUCCCAGUGUUACGUUAACUACCGACACGUUAAUUGACGUCGGACAACGGUGAUUGUCCGGCCUGCAGCCGUUUCAUCAAUUUAUUUAUCUUGACAUUUAUACAAUAGCCCAUUUAUACAGGCGUUGAAAACUUUACACAUAAAAUACGCGUGCAACGUCGUUAGAACGUAUUCACGCGCGUGUGAUAAAUAUAAGUAAGUAGUAGGGAUGAGCUUUUUCCUUUUUUUUUUUCUUUUUUCUUCUUUUUUCAUAUUUUUUAUCAACCGCGCGGCUACUCCGUACUUUAUCCUCCGGAUGUAUAAAAUAUAUACUCAACGGGGUAUAAAUAUAUAUACAUAUAUAUACAACGUGUAAUAUAUUCAAUACGCAAAUCCAUUUUCAUCCCCAAUCGCUAACCCGGUUGGAAUCAGCGCGCGACCCUAAGAAAAGUCACAGAGCGCAAGCCCGGCUCUACCGAUCAGCUGAUUUUGACAGAUAUACCUGGUGCGGGGUGUCGUAACGGCUGUGCGUAUACCUACGAGAGCACGAACGGGAACAGCUGAUGGCCGACAGUCAGGAGUCGACGCAGCAGGAGCAACAGCCGUUGCUACGAUAUAUGCCUAUGGCAAAAGCAUUUUUAACUCGCACUCCCCGAUCGACGGGUACCUCCGUAUCGUGGGUUAUACCUGCGAAAAUUACCGGAGAUAACGGUAUACCAUUGUUGCAACGCGAUGCGUCAGCUUUACGCCCCUAGGUAUUAACCGUGAAACGAAUUUUCCGAAGUUCAGGAAGCUUGCAACACCUCGAUUACUCGAUUUUUUUUUCAUUCGACAGGAGAGGAAUUUUCGUACGCUGAACUCGACUCGCUAAUCGUCUCGAUCUUGUUCCCCGAUCCCCGUCGCACUACCGACACACCUACGGGUAAAAAGCGGUGUGCUUUACACCCACCCAUUGUACCUAGGAAGCGGUAGAUUAAUAAUUUGAGGAAAACUAGAACGUAGAGUGUGAGAAAUUGCGGGGAAUUAAGUUCACCUGAUGGUUUCGAUGCGAUUACGGAAAGUUUGUUUCGCCGCGAGUUGAGUAAUAUAGAGUAAAAAAAAAAAAAAAAGAAAAGGGGAAAAAAAAGACAAAAAUCUUCGUCACCGGUUGAUGUAGCGAUUUCGAGAAGUAUAAGGACGUGUAUCCCGAACGUCGCUUAAGCUGAUUUUGUUGGUUGCCUAACGACGCGUUUCUAUAAAUAAUCAUUGUCUCGUGAUUAACGACUCUUUCUUCGUGACGAAGUAGAUUUUUAUUCAUUUUGCUUCGUUUUUUUUUUUUUUUUCUUUUUUCUUCUCUUUACGAGUAUAAAAAAUUGAUGUUUUCGUUAAUUAGUACUUGUCGAAAAAUUUUUCGUUAAAGGGCAAACCGAGCAGAAGAGCGUGCACAGUUUCGUUUAAACUUCGUCCUCUCUAAUUAAGCGAACAGUGCAACAAAAGGAAUAACCAAGGGGGGGGGCGGUGGAGAAUAGAAAAAAAUUUCACUCAAAUUUUGAGACAAAGAAAAUUUCGCCUAGCUCUUUCAACUUACUCGGGUCAAUUUCCUCGUACAACAAACUAAUCUUUGCACACGUAUCAUUACACGUGGUUUAAACCACACUUUGUACGAGUUUAAUAAUAUCGUUUCGCUUUCCCCCGGCGACUCGACAUCGUAAACUUUCUACAUCCGUAAUCAUUGUAACAGAAAAAAAAUUACGUUCAAAUGUGCGUCCGCACAAUAAUUGAUACGGUCCACCCCGUUAUGUUCCUCAAAUUGAACUUUCAAGCUCGAUAAAAUAAAGAGGGGAGAAAAAUCAUCGAGAUCAAUGAAUUUUCUUUUCGAAAUUACGCACGUUGAUCAGGUUUUUUUUUUUUCUUCAUUCGACGAAGGCAAGAAAUUCACCCACGUCCAAAAUUCGCGGCUUACGAAUAGUCCGGGAGUCCGUGGUGCGCGGUUAAUCAAUGCCACCUCUAUGGGGAGAAAAAAAAAAAAAAAAGAUUCGAGCACUAAAAUUUUCCGAUUCGAGGGUAUUCCGAGUUUCUAUAGAUUUUCGGGGUAUAUGAGAAUUUUCGAGCCUUUCAGGAGAGGUAUGAAGUAGAGGCGCAUGAAAGCUGGCCUAGUGGCGUCGCCCCUGCCCGAAACAGGCUCCAACCAAACCCUCCUCACUCUCCCUCCCUCCCUCCCUCCCUCUCUCUCUCUCUCUGUCUUGUUUUUUUUUUUUUUUUUUAUAUAUUUUUUUCAUUUUCUCUUUCCCUCCGAACCGACUGAGGUAACGUUGUCGCACACCCCCCCAGAAUCUAUUCAUCUUCGUCCGACUCGAGUUAUUUCCCCGUGGGUCUGUCUCGGUCGGACGUCGAAGAGCGAGCACGAUAGUAACCUACAGCAUUCGUUUUCGAUCUCACUCGUUAACGUGGAAAAUUCCCAUGCGCCCGUCCUACUCGCGGUGCAUUUAAAUCCCCGUCCUUUUCUAUCCCUUGGUAACAGCAACGCGCCAGAGGUCGAAAGAGUGGAGAGUGAAGAGCGAGGAGUGAAGAGCGAGUUGAGAGUGGAGAGCGGAAAACGGAGAACGUACAGAGUGGAAGGAGAGUGGAGACGGCUCCGAGUUAGGAGCAACAAGGUCUUGUGACGUUACGUGCACCGAUACGAUGUGAGGUAUACGUAUACCCGAGCGAAAUAGAGAAGAAAAUCUUUUCAUCCCCUUCCGCUGUGCGGUGCAUACCGCGCGAAGUCCGACGAAUUAUUGGAAAAGGAAAAAAAAAGAGAAAAAAAAACAACAUAUCUCAUAAUAUAUGCGAUACCUUCUCAAUAUGUCGACAAUUUUUCGACGGAUAUUCGAAUCCGUCAGACCAGAAGGAAAGGAGGAAGAAAAGAAAUGGAAAUUUCGUCAUACGCGAAGAAUGAAUUCCAUGGGCUGUACACAAUAUGUACGGUGGGUAAAUCAAAUCUCUUAGCAACGUGAAUUUGAUACGAAAAAUCGUACGCGAGUAUCACGUGCAUUUACCAAAGAAUUGAAGGGUGGGUUGCACGAGGUUGGGUGUGUCGGCGGAGAUUUCGAUCGUCCGCUUCCGAAUUGAGCAAAGAUUUCUUUUUUUUUCCCUUUCACCCCUUCGCCGAUUGCGGGGUGCACUCUGUACUUUCGCAAGUAGAUACAGCGCGACGUUACGUGUAAUACAUGUACGGAUACUUUUUUCGGUACAUUUCCGCGUACGUACGUAGGUAGGUACGUACGUAGCUUACCUCGCGUGUCAGAGAUCACUCUUGACUCUCGUUUCGUAUGUAUGGGUAUGUGUAUAUACGUACGCGUAUAUAAAUUCGAACGGUCGGACCUACGGAGCGAGGAAGACGCCGUUAUACUCGUUAUCCCAACCCAAAUUAACCAAACAACCGUAUAGUAUACGCUGGAGCGCGUAUAAUACCAACGUAUAUAAUUAUGUGGUGGAUAGCGCGGAGCGGACUGCAGUAAUCAAACGAUAUUCUCCGCUUUUCUGGUAAAAGAGAAGAAAACAACGACGACAAAGAAGAGAGAAAUACGAGUAACGCGAAAAAAGAUUAAAUGAAAUGAAUCGAAUUGAAAAAAAAAAAUAAUAAUCAAUGAAUGAGUAAUCAACCAACGUAAUAGGUACAGCGAGAUAUCAUCUGAAUACAAUUAAAUUCUCCCCAAUUUUUGUGCGAAUAGUUUACCAUACGUUAGAUAUUUUUUUUAAAUAUAUACGUGAUUUUUUACCCAUCUCUGUUAAUCGUCCAUACGACCGCUAUGCAUAAUAUGUAGAU